UAAAGCUCUAUGUUAUGUCUGGAGAGUGUUCUGUUGCAAAUAUUGCUCUAUACCCGUCAGCUAUGAACAGUGUCAUGUCCCCCAUUUGAAACAUCCGUCAUCGACUGCUUGAGUUUGGUUAAGUUCCCCAUAACUUUUACCGCAGUAUUAUGGUUGUGUUUGAUUUCAUCUCUAGAUAAACUUAUGGAUGGGUGUAUCAUUAACUAAGACCAGCUGCUUUUCUUUUGUGUGUUAAAAAGGCAUCGUCCUGCACUGCUUAAAAGCGUCGGCCGGCUACGGCUUUGAGUUAUGUCUUCAUGGUUUUGCUCUUCGCUCUUCGUUCAUCCUUCGCCCUCGCCUGCUCCAUGCAAACUGCGUAUUAGUUCCUGCAGACGACCCCUCUGCGUCGCGUGUUCUUCGUUGAAGAUGCUGCUCGUCAAAAAGCAGUAACGACCUUUCUUCUUUUGCAAAUUGGUAAGGUUUGAUUGUGCUGAUAAAUGCAGCUUCUGGAAGUAUUAGAAGCGCAAAUUUCUUUGUAGGACGAGUCUCCAGAAGCUGCAUCUGCUUGCUUCUCUGGGACUGACGGCAAGGUAUUUAGUUGAAUGGCCUGCACCCUUGCCUCCGAGCCCCAUGGCAGGUGAUGAGGUCAUCUGAGGGGCAAUUAUACCUGGGUAAGUAUUGCAGGAGGUGCAAGCCUUUCUAGACUGCGGUGCUGAGUUGGGCAGUUGGCAUCGUUCUUCAUGCUCUUCGUUCUCAACUUAUCCCCGACAUGCAGCUGAUCUUCUCCACAUUCUGCUUUCUUCACUGCGCCUGCGAUUGAGACUCCUCGGUAGCUUGUAUCUUCCAGUCACAUUCCGUUGCUGUUGGAUGCAACAUAUUCGUCAAUAGGUUUAUUCGAAUAAUUUGGUUGAGCCUGCAUUUGUGAACCUGAAUUUUCAGAUCCUAGAUUGUUCUGACAUUUGAGUAAUUUGGUUGAGCCUGCACUUCUGUUUUCAAUUUGUCGAGUGCUCCCUUGGUUAUAUCGGUCGGUAUGCUUUGCUGGCCUCCUUGCAGCAUGAAAUAAGUCAGUAAUGACCUGAUGAUUAUCCUAGGUUGGUUUAACUGUCGAAUUCUCAUCAGGAGAGGCUUCACCUGCGUCGACAGUUCGUUGGUAGAAGACUCCGUCUUUCUUAAGUAGUAUCCGAGCCAAAUAUGUUGCAACCGGCAGAAGAAAUCAAUAGGUUUAGCAUGCUAGUAAUUGAGUUUGCACAACACUUGACCUCCCCACCUUUGUCAGUGUUAAUGCGAUUUCAAUUCGUCUCUCUUGAUGUCAGCUGAAUGUUUUUUCUGCAAGCGAAAUGUUCCCUUGGUUGUAUCGUUUGGGAUACUUUGCUGGCCUCCUUACUGUAUUGCUGUUGAAAAGAGCAAGGUUGGCUAAGCUCUGACCCGUCGAAUUCUCAUGGCUCCGUAGCCAUGGCUUUCUUUCUAUCAUAUCACAGUUUUCUGAGCCAGGAACUGCAUUUUGCUUCUCUGGGACUGCAGCAUUGCCACUUAGCUGGCGAGCACCCCAUGCCAUGCCACUUUUGCUCUUCAUAUCUGAACUGAUCGACGGCACACCCGUCGACCUCACUGCACCGCGCGGCCACCGCCCAUCGCCACACAUUGAUUUCUUCAGCAUCAUGAGGCGUUGAGGUUGGGCGCACCAUGCUUGUCGAUUUGUCUAGUUGGCGUUGGAAGAUAAUUACUCCUAUGUCUGAUCAUGCGAGAAACCCGACUCUUGAGUGCGCUUUUCACAAAGCUGGUAUGGACAUGACGAUGCGGACGCUUCUGGGCGAGCAUCAUCUCAUUGCCCUCUGGCCGCCACCCUCUGCCUGAGCCCUGAGCUGUCCGAAGGACCACGACGCCGGAAACGAGCGGCGUAGGCUGGCCUGUCGAAGUUCCGUCAGCCGCGGCUGUUUGGCGUGACGAAGAUCUACAGCCACACACACAAAAAAAAUCCGCUGCUGAUCGGUGGCGUUUAGCUGUUCAUCGUACUACGGACGGGAGGGGGAAGGUCGCUGGGUUUGGAUUGGGCAGCUGGGUUCGGGGAGCAGACGCAUGCGGCGGUUGGCAGCGGCACCGGCAUCAAAUUAAGGCAGUAUGGAUGGCGAAUUCAACCAGAAAACAGCUAGCAGAUGCCGGCGGCCAGGCCGUAUUUCUCCUGUCAAGAUGCGAGGGCAUGAUUGGCUGAUCGGCACAUCACGAGUUUCCGACCCGAGCGCUACACGAGCGCGACGCCCGCUGCUCCUCCUACUUUAUCCGCCCUUCAACUUCUUCACGGGGACGAGGGCAUCUACCGCCGGACUGGGCCGACGGCACAAUCAAUUUUGGAACGCAUGAAAUUAUAAAAUAACCGUCAAUUUACAAUUCUGAACAAAAAAAAAAC
rnacentral:lncRNA from 1 species